rnacentral:rRNA from 1 species
AGCAGUAGCCACGGGAAUACGAAGGGUGCAAGCGUUACUCGGAAUUACUGGGCGUAAAGCGUGCGUAGGUGGUGGUUUAAGUCCGUUGUGAAAGCCCUGGGCUCAACCUGGGAAUUGCAUCCAAAACUGGUGAGCUAGAGUACGGUAGAGGGUAGUGGAAUUUCCUGUGUAGCGGUGAAAUGCGUAGAUAUAGGAAGGAACACCAGUGGCGAAGGCGACUACCUGGACUGAUACUGACACUGAGGUGCGAAAGCGUGGGGAGCAAACAGGAUUAGAUACCCCAGUAGUCCCUGUCUCUUAUAC